UACAGAGGGGGCAAGCGUUAUUCGGAAUUACUGGGCGUAAAGCGCACGUAGGCGGAUUUGUAAGUCAGGGGUGAAAUCCCGGGGCUCAACCUCGGAACUGCCUUUGAUACUGCAAAUCUCGAGUCCGGAAGAGGUGAGUGGAAUUCCUAGUGUAGAGGUGAAAUUCGUAGAUAUUAGGAAGAACAACCAGUGGCGAAGGCGGCUCCACUGG
rnacentral:rRNA from 1 species